GUGGUUCCAGCCUGAAGAUGAGAGAAAGAUGUCGCUGCAUAAUUUAAGUUAGAUGCAGUAUUGGUUACAGAUAAUAUUGUCAAGGUAUGGCAUGGUUCCAAAUAUGCCCAGCUGUUCUAUAUUAUUUUGUCCAAGAGGUCAUCUUUCACGUUGGAACCUGAAGAGUCCUCAGUCAUCUGUUCAGCCAUGGGAGAUGCAACACUUUAUCCAAUUUCUACAAGUAUUCUCCAGCAGGACAUCACUGGAAAAUGAUAAAGAGUGGGAAGCAUAGGUGAUUUUUCUCCCUAAGUAGAUGUUAGUUAAUACUUCUACAGAAAGGUUUUCUGGAUGUCAAAGGAAUUCAGUCUUAACUGUGAAUGUAUUCACCCAGUUAG